AAGUCUGCCUACCGUGGGCCAGGGUUGAACGACCCUCCACGCGUGGCCCUAAGAGGCCCACAUAACAGUGGGGGAGUGGAGCGCAGAGGGAGGGAUAGCUGACCUGGAUCGGUCACAGGGCACGGGGGCUGUGGGGGUGAGUGACUGCGGACACCUUCUAGUGAACAGAGAACCGAGCUAGCAGCUUGCGCUACUGGGUAGAACACUCCCCACCCCUCAGCCUCCCCGGUCUCCCACGUACACAGCGCGCGGGUACGUGCGCCCUCCCUAUGUGAGCACAAGCUGUUUCUCAAGCUGGUUUCGCUUCUCUAGCCUCUUCCCUACUGCAUGCAGCUCUUUGGACCUAGAGAGGAGCAGGUCCCAGUCUUUUCAGAGAAGCUGGAGUUCUAGGCAUCCGCAUGAAGGUGCUGGUCACAGGUUGGCCCAGUUCCAGGAGCCAGAAAACCAAGUUGUGCCAGUGCCUCUGUUCUAAAGGUGGCCUGCCAUGUCCUUCAGCUGGCAAUCUAGCCUUGCCUUUUUCCAAGGCUGCAUCUGGAAGCUUGUUGGACUGAUGAGCCCUCCAGUAGAGGAUGGGCACUCAGUGCUCUGCUAUCUUAGCUCAUGCUGGCUUGUGUCCCCACACCACCGCCCACACCUUUGUUCCCGGUGCUUGCCUGCAGUCUGUCUAAUGUGCAUUCAUUGUUAAACAGUAGUUGCUUUCUCCUUGCCUCUGUCUACUUCGUCUGUUAUCAUCCCAUCCUGCACUGUCUGUUAGCCUCUCCUUAAUUCUGUGUGUGUGUGUGUGUGUGUGUGUGUGUGUGUGUGUGUGUGUGUGUGAAGCCCAUAAAGAAAUCAAUAUAUGAGGAGACACUGGGUAGGAUUGCUCAGAAGGCCCUAGGGUGUUGCAUUGAUUCCUAAUCUGAAACCAGAAACUUCAACACUCAAACCCUCUCAGCAAAAGGAGCCUAGCUGAUCCCUGGGCUGGACAUUUAGCUCCAGGGUAGUGUUUCCCUAAGACCCACCAAUCCUGGAUUCCCUAGUUCACAAACAGCACUGACUACCUCUCCUUGGCCUCUGAAUGGUUGAAAGCUACUCUGUAUAUUUCAUGGACAGGAAAAUGAAGGUCUCUGUGAAUAAUGGGGUCACUAAACCCAGGGCCAUUCCUGUUCUGAAAGUAGAAUGGGGACAGGAGUGUACUCUCUCUUGCUGGAACCCUAGUCUGAAGCAGGCCAGGAACCUCUCCUCUGCAGUUUCCCUUUGGCUGUCCCCCAGCAAUGACAGGACCAAGGCUCCACAGCAGCUUCCUGGGACGUUCUCAGUUGGGGAACGGGCACCAGGCAUGGGGGUGGGGGGCA
rnacentral:lncRNA from 1 species